rnacentral:rRNA from 1 species
UACGAAGGGGGCUAGCGUUGUUCGGAUUUACUGGGCGUAAAGCGCACGUAGGCGGAUCUUUAAGUCAGGGGUGAAAUCCUGGAGCUCAACUCCAGAACUGCCUUUGAUACUGAGGAUCUUGAGUUCGGGAGAGGUGAGUGGAACUGCGAGUGUAGAGGUGAAAUUCGUAGAUAUUCGGAAGAACACCAGUGGCGAAGGCGACUCACUGGCCCGUUACUGACGCUGAGGCGCGAAAGCCAGGGGAGCAAACGGG